ACGGACUCUAAAUUUGAAAUUUUUUCAAAGCGUACGCCUGAUGAAGCUGACAUACAAAUUUUUUUCGUGACUCGUCGUAAGACUGGAAUCAAAAAAAUUUAGUAUGCCAGCUAGGCAUCAGGCCUUAAGCAAGAGUUAGUGGCGGACGGGUGAGUAACACGUUAAUACCUGCCCUUUAGUGGGGAAUAACUCGGCGAAAGUCGAGCUAAUACCGCAUGUGAUCCUUCGGGAUUAAAGACUUCGGUCGCUAAAGGAGGGGUUUGCGUCUGAUUAGCUAGUUGGUAAGGUAAUGGCUUACCAAGGCGAUGAUCAGUAGCUGGUUCGAGAGGAUGACCAGCCACACUGGGACUGAGAUACGGCCCAGACUCCUACGGGAGGCAGCAGUAAGGAAUCUUCCGCAAUGGACGAAAGUCUGACGGAGCAACACCGCGUGCAGGAUGACGGCCUUCGGGUUGUAAACUGCUUUUAUUUGGGAAGAUUGUGACGGUACCAAAUGAAUAAGGACCGGCUAACUACGUGCCAGCAGCCGCGGUAAUACGUAGGGUCCAAGCGUUAUCCGGAAUCACUGGGCGUAAGCGUGCGUAGGUGGAUUGUUCAAGUGCGGUGCGAAAUCCUGUGGUCAAACCAUAUGGACUGUAUCGCAUACUGGCAACCUAGAGGACCUGAGGAGGGCAC
rnacentral:rRNA from 1 species